AUGAUCAGAUGAUGUACAAUGGAUUCCAGACUUUCUUCACAUUUAAUGGAAGAUUUGUCCUUUGUGACUGAAAAUGGCCUGAGACAAUCAUUAGAUGACCAUACAGUAUGCAUAACACCAAGACCGCUAGCAGCUUCGACAGUUGUGAGACCAAGAGAUAAUGUCAAGAACAGAGAUCCAUUGUCAUCUGAUCCAAGGGGAUCAUUUAUUAAUACCACUCCUAAUAUGCCUCCACAACAUGAUCAAGAUUUUGAAAAGUUGACAUUCAGUGGCUCCAAUGGAUCAGACAAAUCCGAGUCAAGAAGAAGUGAGGAAACAGGAUGCAAUGAUGUCAGUGCUAGAUCAUCUUUAGGAUUAAUACAUGUUGAAGCUAUGAAUGGUGAGAACUGGCAUGCUUUAUUCAUAAAACUGUACUCAAGUCUAUGUAGAAUAGUUAGUAACUCUA